AGUGAACGCUGGCGGUUGGCCUAACACAUGCAAGUCGAACGAGUGGCGGACUGGUGAGGAAUACAUCGGAACCUACUUUGUCUUGCGGGAUAACGGAGGGAAACUUACGCUAAUACUGCAUAAGACUUAAUGCGCCGAGGGCGGAUUAGCUAGUUGGCGGGGUAAAGGCCCAACAAGGCGACGAUCCUUAGCUGGUCUGAGAGGCUGAUCAGCCACACUGAAACUGAGACACGGUCCAGACUCCUACGGGAGGCAGCAGUGGGGAAUAUUGGACAAUGGGCGCAAGCCUGAUCCAGCAAUACCGCGUGGGUGAAGAAGGCCUUCGGGUUGUAAAGCCCUUUUGUUGGGAAAGCGGUACCCAAAGAAUAAGCACCGGCUAACGUCGUGCCAGCAGCCGCGGUAAUUC
rnacentral:rRNA from 1 species